GGGAAGGGCUCGGCUUGCUCUAUUUCUUCUGCACUCAGCAAAGUCGAUUAAAUAUCUUUGUCUUGUCUCCUGGAAUUUAAUUAUGAAAGCCUCUCUGGCUUCUCCACACCAUGUUCAAGUCCAAGCCAAUUAAAGGAGAGUACCGACUUGAGUUUCCCCCAAUGAGACACCGCUCAGAACCCUCACUGUGUACAAAGAGAAGCCCAGCCCAGGGGCAGCAGACAAGAGGGAGAAUUACGCUGUCAAGAAUUCCAGCUGUCUCACCACUAGUGAGUGCUGCAUGUCCAGAAAGGGCUGGCGGGAUGGACUGCUGGACAUAGAAGUCCUGCAACCUUGGGUGGACCAAACAUGGAGUCUGUCUCAGAGACGUUGACAAGACUUGCAUGAGAUGAUUGAAAUGGAGAGUUUGUCACCAUGCCUGCUACUCGAACUGAGAUGAUCACCAUAAAGGAUUUGAACAAUACUGUGAUAAUGAGAGACACACUCACCACGUGAGAACAACGGGGACUCUCCCUUGAGCUGAGGAAGACUCAGAGGAACUACGAAAGUGCAACUCCAUUUUUAACAAAUGAAGAAGACUCUAAUUUCAAAACUCUCCACGUCAUAAGAGACCAAAAGAGUCUACAGAUAUGAACUAAAUUAUAUUUAAAAAAAUGACAUGAGAAUUAAACAUCUAAAAAUCU
rnacentral:lncRNA from 1 species